CUAUCUGCGAUAUGGAAGAUUCGAACCUGCCGCAGGUCCGGGUCUCACGCAGUGAGACAACGGAGCCGUUUACGGCGACGGCCCGAAGGGCGAGCGAAGCGAGUCAUCCUGCACGACCCACCA
rnacentral:sRNA from 1 species